rnacentral:tRNA from 1 species
ACCGGAUAGCUCAAACGGUAGAGUAGCCGACAUUUAUUCGGAAGGAUCUGGGUUCGAACCCCAGUCCGAGCA